rnacentral:lncRNA from 10 species
CUCAGGGAGGCACAGAGGGAAGGCAGCCGUGGGAAGGAGGAGGUGGAGAUGGGAGUGACGCAACUAUGAGCCCAGAGUCACCCAGCAGUGCCGGGACCACCAGCAGUUAGGAGAGCGGCAUGGGAGCUUUCUCCCCAAGUCUUCAGAAGGAACCAGUUCUGCCAGCACCUUGAUUUUGGACCUCUGACCUCCAGCACUCUGAGAGGUUCCACAUGGAUAUAGGAGAUGAUGUUCCCCUUGGGAGAGAGGAUCAAAGCUCCCCUGAGCUGCUUGCUGCUGAGUUUUACUCAUAAUAAUCUUUGUGGCUUCUACCCCAACCUGCCUGCAGGGCUCUGAGAUGGAGUAAGCUCAAAACUGUGGAAAAACAAAGAAUACGGAGAAAAAUCCAUUGCUCCUUAGCAUCCAAGCUGGUGUUCCAAACAGAAAGAUCCAAGGCUUGGCUGCAGAGAGAGAGAGAGAGAGAGAGAGAAAUGUUUAUGGUUUACCUGUGGGAACCCAGCCUGGGUCUUAAUAAUUUAUAAAGCCUGGAGCCCACCUCACCACCCUCUGCAUGAAGCUCAACACAUAUUUGUCAAAUGGCUGGAUCCAUUCAUCAACCCACAAAAUGAGCACUGUGUGAGCUGAGGUGCCUACGGUGUUGAACCUGGAAACCUGAGGAAAUGAUGAUACCAGCAAGAGGAAGGGGAAGCUGAGGAAGGACCUAGUCUUGGGAGUAGGUUGUAAAUUUGAUUUGGCCCAUGAAUGGCCUUAGAUAAUAUGAUAGUCAAGAUCCAGUGUCCGUGGACAGCAGGUGGCUGAAAAAAGAGGACUUAAGGUUGACUUUGAUGAUCAGCAGCAUAGAGUCAGUUCUCGCCUAGGGAAACAUGAUCAUAUUUGGAGUUUUAAAGAGAUGUUGCUAUGUGAAAUAUGUCCAAAUGGAGGAACUAGGAUGGUGUAGGGCUGAGAUUGUGGCUAGAACAUUUGGCUUCAUAGAGCAAUGCCUAUAAGGAUAUAUUUUGCUGUCAUUGCAUUUGAUCACCUCACAUGCAACAAGAGUAGACUUGUCCUGUGUCACUGCUGAUGGAUAAUUCUCCAUGGAUCUCUCAUGUUUCUGUCUAUGUUGUAAGUAAGGUGCUGAUUGCUCUGUUCUGGACUCUUUUCAAAAACACGUAUAUAGCGAACAGCCUUGGAACACAGAGAUAAUAUCUCUUUCCAGAACAAAAGGCAGACAUGCUUACUGCCUAAUACAGAAGAUUCAAGCUCCCUAAAUUCAGACUUCUCCUAUAUUAUGACUCAUUGUGUCUGUCAUAUCCACAUUUUCCUGAGAGAAUUGGGGCUUGGGGACCCCACUUAAAUAUGCUGAUAACUCUGGCAACUGCAAUUACUGAGUAAUCUGACCCCAGGAGUGUUACGUUUUCAACCAGCAUCCAUAAAAUUGUGGCCGACCGACUUGAUAACUUGCAAGUAGGGAAAAACUCAGGCCUUUCAGAGUUUUUGACAGUCACCCUCUGAGAUUCUUGUUGUGGGGUCCAUGGAGGAGCUGUAGGAGACUCUGAAAGGAGUCUGUAAUUAAAGUCAAGUCACCUGCUAUAGGCAGUGAGAGAAAAGAACAGGGCCUGAUUGCUUUGGGGCUAUGGCUUUCAUUGUGGAUGUGGGCUGAGAUAGCUGUGAUUCAGGAUACAGACAGACAGACAGAAAAAACUAAUGACAAGUAUGGUAAGGUGGGCAAUGAGCUACCAUUUUUUAAUGCAAAAUAACAAAAAGGAAUUUUUGCAUAUGUUUGCAACAAAAAGAAUACAAACAGGCACAGAUAUUUACAGAUGAUAUAGAGAAAGAAGAAGACUUGGCUCUUUCUUUUGCCUUUAUUCAGCAAAUUAUGAAGUGCAAAAAGAUAAAAAGAAGAAAUUAUAGUCUGUGUUUGAUGGAGAGCUAUUUGGAGAACAGCACAGGGCUCUAUUUUUGGCCUUGACCUGUUUUGUAAUUUUAUCAAAGACUUAGACAAAGGUGUAGAAGACUGUCUUAUCAGAUCUGUAGACGACACAAAUUUGGAGGGCUAGAUAAUGAGACACAGGUAAGAAUUGAGACUCAGAAUGUUCACAUGGCUUGGCAUGGAGGGCAGAGACCAAGAAAAUGAAAUUUUACAGAGGUGUCAAGACUUGAGUUUGUGCUAAAAGAAAUCAAUUGUGUAAAUUUUCACAGGCAUCCUAGUGGUUCAUGAAAAAAAAAAAAGAGCUGGGGUUAAUGUCAAUCUCAAUGUAACAGACAACAAUACAGAACACUGGGUAAAACAUGAAUGUGGCUCUGAUCCCUGUCACUAAGAUGUGGCUUCCAGGCUAGGAAGGGAGUAGCCCCAAAGCACUUGGGACAGGACAGUUGCUGACCAGGGAAUGAUAUUCAUUUGGUGUCAUCUUCUAAAGGGAUGUCGAAAAAUUAAGUGCAUUCAAAUGGGGGCAACUAGGAUAAUGAAGGCUUGUAAAUGGCUGGGACAUUCAGCGUGAAGGAGCAAAACCCAUUGAGACAUAUUUUACUGUCUUUGCAUUUGCUGUUUUGACAGCUUCAGGUGUUUGUGAACCUCCUGUUGAAGAUGAUGGCAUCACAAAAUAGAAAGAGGUUGGGUUCCUCAGUCACUUCCUGGAUAAGAGGUUCUCAGGAAGAGUUUCCCAACCUACAUUAGAUUAUGGCAUGAGCGUACAUCUCUUUGUCGAGGUACUUAUAUUUGGAGGUUUAUUUGUUAUUGCAGCCUAAUUUAGCCUACCUUAACUAAUGUACCUCUCUUAGCCUCAUUUUCUACAUCUGGACAAUGGGGAUAAUCACAUCUACUUCAUGAAAUUCCUGUGAGAUUCAAGUAAGAUGAUGACACAAUAAUCAUAAUAGAAGGCUUCCUACUUCCUUAGACAUCCUUCUCUUUUAAAAUUUUUAUUUAUUUAUUUAUUUUUGUAGAGAUAUGGUCUAACUAUGUUUCCCAGACUGGUCUCAAACUCCUGAGCUCAAUUGAUCCUCCCUCCUUGGCCCCCCAAAGUGCUGGGGUUACAGGCAUGAGCCAACACACCCAGCCCUCUUUUUGUGCUGGUUCCUUUGUGAAAGUUCUGCUGUUGGAAGUGCUCUAGGACCCUACCCUCACCUACUGUCUCCUUCCCCAGGAAAUGUCACACAAAUCCAUGUCUAUAUACUAUCCAUAUGCUGAUGACUGAUUGAAGUUCUGUAUCGAGAUUGAGACCCCUACUAUCUAUUCAAGAGGAGACUUAGACAUGAGUCUGGCACUCAGGAGAGAUACAGGAUGGAGUUAUCAACUGACAAGAGUUUUCUCUUGAUUCUCCUCCACUAGAUCUGAUCCUCACUCACCUCACUUUCUCAAUCCUUUUCUAAUUCAAUAAAUGACACCACUAUCCACUCAGUUGUUUGGGCAAAAAUCCCAGCAGUCAUGUUUGAACUCACCAGGGCAGAUGGCCCAUGCUUUGCUAAGGAAGGUCCCUUGAGAGUGGUGUUAGUAACCAGAGAGACAUAUGUAGCAAAGUAGAGAAGCUAAUCAACUUUAAACAUUAAAAAAUAGCACCCAAAAUUAAAUAGGGGGAGAGGGGUAAAAAAUGUAAAUUUGGGGAGUAAAAGAAACAAUGUCAAAUUUCUGUUACAAGAAAACUUGUUUCUGUGUUUUCCAUGUAGAUGGUGUUUGAGUGUUAAAUCAUUGAGGGACUUAGAUUCCCAUUGUAUACAUUUACAGUUUGUAUACAUUUGCAUACAGUUGAAUAGUUUUUUGUGUAUGUAUCUCUUCCAAAAAGAAUUGCUGAAUGGCCAAAUUGGCCCAGAAAUGGUCCUGUCUGGCAAAUCCUCCGUUCUUAGUAUGAGGUUGCCAGGGACCUGAGAUGCCGUCCUCCACUUGGUGGCAGUGUGUGGUGGGACACCAAAAAAGGGUGACUAAAUCCAUUGCCUUCUCCACAUUCUUCCAGUAAAUGUGGGAUUGUAGAGGGUUUUGAGGGUAGAGUCCUGGAGCACUUCAACAGCAGAACUUUCACAAAGGAACCAGCACAAAAACAAAGAGGGCUGAGCGCAGUGGCUCAUGCCUAUGUUGAUAGGAAUCACAACCAGAUUUGUUUUAUAUCACUUUAAAAAUGUAUACAAUGGAAGCUAAGUACCACAAUGGUUUGAUAAUUGAAAACUAUCUACAUAAAACAUACAGAAACAAGUUCUUUUUUAACACUUGGAAAUUUGGCACUUUCUCUCCUCAAAUUCACAUUUUCACCCCCAUUUUUUCCCAGAUGAGAUUCCUUAAUGUUAACAUUUAAAAUUGAUUAGCUUUUCAUACUUUUCUACAGCCAAGAUUAAGCUUAUGCAUUUAAAUGCAUUUUAGUGACCUUAAGGCUUUACUUUUUGUUCCCAGAUUGAGUAAUUAUUACAACUAUUAUUUUUAUCCAAUUACUUGUUUCCUUGGUGCUGACAGAAAGAUUAAUUUAAAUAAAAUACUCCGCUGGGUAGUAUCUGCUUUUCAGUUUCCAAUAAAGUCCAGAGGAGUGCCUGGAGGGGCCUUCCGGGAAGGGGUCUUCUGAUGAAUCAGCCGAUGUGCCACCCCAACUUGACAGAAGGCCCCCUUGUCAGCAGUUUGAAAGACAUAUACCACGCUUGCCCAUGUAUGACGGUUCAUUUUUAAAAUUUAAAUGUCAAUAGUUGCUAAGGAUAUAAUUUCCAAUGCACUCUUUAAUAGCAUAAGAAAGAAAAUUGUUCCCAAACUGUCUGUGGCAGAACUUUUUUGUAUGAUGUCAUUUGUAACCCCUUCCAUGAAGUAAUUAUGAUUCCUGAUAAAAUGCUUGGGUAAUUUCCGGAUAGACUUUAAUGGGAUUAAGAACUGCUGAGAAGUCAGGGUCUCCACUCAGCUCUCUAAACCACGCCAACCAGUCUCGAGCUGUUCUUCUGUUGUGGUGCCAUUUCUUUUUUCUGUUUGUGUCUCUUCCAAAAAAGAAUCACUGAAUUGGCUGGCUUGCUGGGAGCCUCUUCUCUUGAGGCCAGUCUGAAAUAGAAUUCUGACACAGGCUAAUAACAAGUUUGUCUGACAAGUUAUUUUAAGAAUUCACAUUUUAAAAAUAAAUUUGUUACAUCAUUUUCAAACGAUAUCCAUUGGAAUCGAAAUACCAUACUGGCAUGAUACUCAAUACCCUACAUGAAAAAUAUAGGAGUUACUUUUUGACACUUGGACAUUUUACAUUUCUUUUUCUUCUCCUCAAA